AGAUCACUGAGGGUGAUCUGGCUGCGACAUCUGUCACCCCAUUGAUCGUCAGGGUUGAUUCAGCUGAUCUGGCUGGCUGGGCGGGUGUUCCCUUCUACCCUCACUGCUCCAUGUGUGUCCCUCCCAAAGCUGCAUGCUCAGUGGAAGAGAACAACCUUCUCCACCGAUAGAAGAGGACUGUUCUUUGGUCAAGGGUGUAUGAGUAGCUGCGCUCCCCUGCUAGAACCUCCAAACAAGCUCUCAAAGAGCAUUUAUUUUUUAAAAAAUGGCUGUCACUGGUAAAAACAAUGAAAGCUGUGGCAUUUU
rnacentral:snRNA from 1 species